CAGCCGUUUCCUGCCUGAUGCUAGGAGAGCUCGGCGCCCUGACCCGGGACACGUAGAGGCCUCCGGGCUUGCCGCGCUCCGCCCACGCAGUGUCCUGGAAGAGAAUAGUGACCACAGAGAUCCCUACUUGACCUUUUCCCCUUCAUCCUCUGAUACUGAAGUUUGUCCAGCUCAGAUAUGCUGCAGCACUCUAAGCCAUCCCAGGUCGCGCUGCCAUUCUACAGGUCUUCAUGCUACUCAAGAUCCUUGAAGCCCCCAGGGACGCUCACGCUGCAAGCCUGGGGCUGAUCUGAUGUCUUUUACUGUAGCGCCAUGAAAUGGAAAGGAAUUUUCAUCCAGUGGAGCUAGGCAAGGUCUAGGGAAAGAUCAUAAUGUGGUUACACUUAGUUUCACAGGUUACCAUUUUACAUUUACCUCCUGAAAUAAAAUAUAUUAAGUUUCACUUUUAAUUUUAAAUACACUUUUAUUUUUGUGGGAGGAAAGACCAAAAGUUUACACUGACUCUGAACUAAAAACUGGAUUUCAAAUUAACAUGUCAUUACAAGCCCCAGUCCCUUAUCUGUCUUUCCUAGUUCCUUUAGCGGUAAAGUCUGACCUGAAUGGAACUGAGGCAAUGUGUAACUGAAUGUUCACUUGGUGUGAAUAUUCAUAAGUUUUCUACAGAAAUAUUAAAGUGUUUCGCUACAGUGCAGCUUGCUGGAUAUGUUGUAUAAUAUGUGGCAGACACACCUUUCUAAGAAAAGUUCUGAACUCUGAAACAUAUCUAGCCAAAAAUGUUUCAGAUAAGGCGCUGUGAACUUGUAGUAGUAAUUUCUGAAGGUGUGGUAAAGAACUUCUUCUCAUAUAAGUUCUGUGUUCUGCAUAAUGUUAUAAUUUGCUCACAAAUAGAUUUCUUAAACUGAAUAAUAAAAAUAAUAAAAAGCUACUCAAAACCUUCA